UGAAAAUAAGAAAUAAUCUCUUAAAUCUUA
rnacentral:tRNA from 1 species